AGUGAACGCUGGCGGUAGGCCUAACACAUGCAAGUCGAACGGCAGCACAGGAGAGCUUGCUCUCUGGGUGGCGAGUGGCGGACGGGUGAGGAAUACAUCGGAAUCUACCUUUUCGUGGGGGAUAACGUAGGGAAACUUACGCUAAUACCGCAUACGACCUUCGGGUGAAAGCAGGGGACCUUCGGGCCUUGCGCGGAUAGAUGAGCCGAUGUCGGAUUAGCUAGUUGGCGGGGUAAAGGCCCACCAAGGCGACGAUCCGUAGCUGGUCUGGGAGGAUGAUCAGCCACACUGGAAAUGAGACACGGUGCAGACUCCUACGGGAGGCGGCAGUGGGGAAUAUUGGACAAUGGUCGCAAGCCUGAUCCAGCCAUACCGCGUGGGUGAAGAAGGCCUUCGGGUUGUAAAGCCCUUUUGUUGGGAAAGAAAAGCAACCAGUUAAUACCUGGUUGUUCUGACGGUACCCAAAGAAUAAGCACCGGCUAACUUCGUGCCAGCCGCCGCCGUAA
rnacentral:rRNA from 1 species